GUAUAUUUUCUGCAACUCCUUUUUUUUUUCUUUCUUUUGAUCUCAAAAAAUUUGUAUUUUUUGGGAAGUUGUUGUAUGUUUGAAAGUAGUCAUAUAUGUACAACUUUGAACAGGGAGGGUUAAUUGGCCAAUCAAAGAAGACCGCACUGUUUGAGGAAACGUUAUUGUGGCUUGGAAAGUUAAAUUUGCUUUAUAUGUUUAAUGACUUAUUAAUUUCGAUUAACGUUUUUGUUUGUUGCUCUCAGUUGAAAUGACUGAACCAUCCAGUUUAUUUGACUGACUUUGUUUUAUUUAUAUUUCCCUCCAAAUACUUCUGUCUGCCUGAAAACUCAGAAGGGGAUUCAAGAAUAACCAUUCAAGGAGCUAAAUAGUUGCUUUAAA
rnacentral:misc_RNA from 1 species